rnacentral:tRNA from 1 species
GCUUGUAGGGUGUAAAUUAACAUGUCGCGGUUUCAGCGCGGAGUAAAUAAUUAAUUUGCAAGCU